UCGUCACUCAGGCUCCGGGUCUUUUGCGAUCUGGUCAGGAUAUAUCACUUAGCGGCCAUUGGUAGCCUCGCACUGCUUGUUUCGAGUUCGGACCACCACUCUCACGCUGAAGUUGGGGUUGCUGUUGCUGUUUCUCUGUUUGCAAGAAUCUGUUGCUGUUUGGUAGAACUUUAUUUAGGACCUGCAAAUCUUUUGUUUUAUAUGGGUUGUAUGGAACUUAAUACUUUUUAUUAUGUCAUGUGUUUUAUGUUUUCUUAAUUAUAUGCAUUUGGUGACCCAUGAAUAUUGGGCUGA